rnacentral:rRNA from 1 species
AUACGGAGGGAACUAGCGUUGUUCGGAAUUACUGGGCGUAAAGCGCGCGUAGGCGGUACAAUAAGUCAGGGGUGAAAUCCCGGGGCUCAACCCCGGAACUGCCCUUGAAACUAUUGAACUAGAAUAUCGGAGAGGUAAGUGGAAUUCCGAGUGUAGAGGUGAAAUUCGUAGAUAUUCGGAAGAACACCAGUGGCGAAGGCGACUUACUGGACGAUGAUUGACGCUGAGGUGCGAAAGCGUGGGGAGCAAACAGGAUUAGAUACCCUAGUAGUCC